CACCGUCCUCACCUCCCGCCAGCCAACCCACACACGCACCUGGGGUUGAAUUUAGCCUCGUCUCCAAGUCGCGCCUGGAAGUCCUGCCAAGCCUGGCCGGCGCUCGCCCGACCCCAGGGGGCUGCCAGCGCGUCCCCGUCGCCCUCGUCCUCUUGGCUGUCCUCGGGGUCGGGUCCCACCUGGGCUGAGGCGGACGCGGACUCCCAGGGAGCCCAUCCUCGGUGCCGCCCCCCGCGGCAGGACCCACGGAAGCCGCGCGCGAACUCCUGGAAGGUGAUGGCGNNNNNNNNNNNNNNNNNNNNNNNNNNNNNNNNNNNNNNNNNNNNNNNNNNNNNNNNNNNNNNNNNNNNNNNNNNNGAACUCCUCGCGCUCCAGGCGCCCCGAGCGGUUCGCGUGGCAGGCAGCGAAGAGCGAGCGCAGAGAUCUGUAGGAUCUGACAAGCGUCCUCUGUCUACGAACUGCAGCGUCCAUUAUGACGAUCAUAGACAGACGUGAUGAGCAAGAGGGAUGAUAGUGGUGAAGUUGCAAAGAGGAGAGGAAGCAUGUUGGUUCUGUAAAUCCAGCAGAAGUGUGUGUGGGCCCAGUGGUCUGCUAACCCAAGGGCAUAGAUCUGCGGUAAAUACUGUUGUAAAUGAAUAGAAAAGACCAGGGUAGUUUGAAUUCAUGUCUAUUUUACAUGCCCCUCUUAUUUCCAUUCGGACCCAUUUCCAGACCCUGCAUCUAGUAUGUAGAUGCAGUUCCACAGGAGGAAACCAAGUAUAACCUUUAUAUUUUUUGUAGACCAACAGGGGGUCACACCCUAAAAUACCACCGCAGAACAAAUGAAUUCGAUAAAAAGGGCUUCAUGUGUGACUAUUCCAAACUGAUAAAUGAUUGUCUCAUAUAUUAUCUUUAAUCAGAGAUUUUAAAUUCAACAGAUGUUAACUAGACUUAUUGUGGUGAUAAUUUUGCAGUAUAUACAAAUACUGAAUUUUUAUGUUGUCUGCCUGAAACUUAUAUAAUCUUAGGUAUCAGUUAAAUUCCAAUAAAAAUAAUAAGUAAAUCAAGCAGUUUAGCUCUAGAAAAAUAGGACAGUAUGUAUUUAUCAUUGUAACACAUUGUAAAAUAUGUAUGUUUUAUACAUAUUCAUGUAUUCUACUUUAAAAUGUAUUCAGUGUAUCAAGAAAACCUGAGAAUCACCUGGAAAACUUUUCAUGAAAUGGUAUACUGGAACAAAUAUUUACAAAAUUUUUUAAAAAGUGAUCAUCAAUGCCAUAAUAUCUAUAAAGAAUAUUACAAAUCUAUGAAGCUACACAUAUAUAUGUUUCUCUUUUUUUGAGAUUUUAUUUUUUUGAGAGAGAGAGAGAGAGCGCGCAAGAGUAGGGAGAGAGGCAGAGUAAAAGGUAGAAGCAGGCUCCCCAGUGAGCAGGAAGCCUGAAGCAGGUCUCAGUCCCAGGUCCCUAAGAUCACAACCCUAGCAGAAAGCAGCUGCUUAACUGACUGAGCCACCCAGGCACCCCCCAAGAUAUAUGUUUGAAUAGUACAAGGAAACCCCCCAACACAGAAAUAAAUAAAUGCAAAAUACCAUUUUAAAAAGGGGAGCCUGCUUUUCCCUCUUCCUCUGCUGUUCCCCCUGCUGGUGCUCUCCCUCUCUCUCAAAUAAAUAAAAAUCUUUAAAUAAUAUAUUAAAAAAUUUAAUGUCAAGAAGCAUCAGCAAAUCAAAUCAAAAUAAGAUAUGCUGUCCAUAACAUUGGCUCUGUAUGUACCAGAGCACUGAGGUCUCCACUGGUUGGGCAAGGCAGGCAGGUCCACAUACCACUGUUGGAAGAAUGCACUGUACAGCCUUUCCAAGAGCACUUUAGCAAUAUUAAUUUGAAAACCUUAAAAAUGUUAAUUUCCUAAUUUUUUGAACUAGUAAUUCUAUUUUUUAGGGCUUUCUAUGAAUGAAAUAAUCAAAAAUGCAAAUAUUUGCAUAUGAGAAUAUUUUUUACUAUGUUAUUUUUUAU
ensembl:lincRNA